rnacentral:rRNA from 1 species
AGAGUUUGAUUCUGGCUCAGGGUGAACGCUGGCGGCGUGCCUAACACAUGCAAGUCGAGCGGGUACCCGCAAGGGUACCAGCGGCGCACGGGUGAGUAACACGUGGGUAAUCUACCCCUCGGAGGGGGAUAACCGGGCGAAACUCCGGCUAAUACCCCAUACGAUCCAACAACACAAGUUGUUGGAUGAAAGGAGCGUUUGCUCCGCCGAGGGAUGAGCCCGCGGCCCAUCAGGUAGUUGGUGGGGUAAUGGCCCACCAAGCCUACGACGGGUAGCCGGCCUGAGAGGGUGGUCGGCCACAAGGGCACUGAGACACGGGCCCUACUCCUACGGGAGGCAGCAGUGGGGAAUCUUGGACAAUGGGCGAAAGCCUGAUCCAGCGACGCCGCGUGGGGGAUGAAGCCCUUCGGGGUGUAAACCCCUGUUGCGAGGGAGGAAUAAGGCCUGGAGGAAAUGCCAGGCCGAUGACUGUACCUCGCGAGGAAGCCCCGGCUAACUACGUGCCAGCAGCCGCGGUAAUACGUAGGGGGCGAGCGUUACCCGGAUUCACUGGGCGUAAAGCGGGUGUAGGCGGCUCGGUAAGUCGGGUGUGAAAUCCCACAGCUCAACUGUGGAAUUGCGCCCGAAACUGCUGAGCUUGGGGCCGGUAGAGGGAGACGGAACUGCCGGUGUAGGGGUGAAAUCCGUAGAUAUCGGCAGGAACGCCGGUGGGGAAGCCGGUCUCCUGGGCCGCGCCCGACGCUGAGACCCGAAAGCUAGGGGAGCAAACCGGAUUAGAUACCCUGGUAGUC